AUUUGAUCCCUGGAUUCCCUUACAUGGCAAAAGCAAGCCGAAGCGAUAUAUUCAACGAUGUGGUUAGAACCGAGCAGAUGACAAAGAAACCAGCAAGAAAUAAGAAAGGAACACAGAAAAUAAAGAGGAAUUCGAUUGUUUUGGACAGCGCUGCUGGAAACGAUGUCGGCGGCGACACAAGAGAUGUCCGGUUUGAUGACAGCGACGGUCUGGAAAUUCUAAACGCCUUUUGAGCUUUUUGUGGUAAAAAUCUUUCUGCAGCUUUAGAAUACAGCAAGUGACAUCAAGACCAUGAAUGAAUCUUGUAUUGAUGGUUUUUCCCGUGUCAGGGACGAAUUGUUGUACACCGCCACCCUUUGUAGACCCCCAAGUACAGCGAGAGAUGCAUGCUCCGAACUGAUUGUAAAUGUUUCUAUAUACCCUCCAGCUUCUGUAACAUGCGAUAUUCCGGACAAUGACUAAUGAUAACUACGGGGGUUAUGCUCAAACCACAGCCGUAGACUCAGAACAAGAAAUACUGGAUAUUCGGCCAAAUGCAAUACAAAUGUAAACCCAUUGAUGGAAAAUUAGGAAAUUUCUAUUUGCUCAUUAUGGAGUGCAAACUUAUAUUGUUUAUGUUUGAAGAAUUGCCAAUUUAUCCGCUAUAAAUUUGUUUUCAAACGUUA